rfam:Triticum aestivum genome assembly, contig: Triticum_aestivum_CS42_TGACv1_scaffold_000615_1AL
UUUCUACUCCCUCCGUCCGAAAAUACUUGUCAUCAAAAUGGAUAAAAAGAGAUGUAUCUAAAACUAAAAUAUGUAUAGAUACAUUUCCUUUUAUCCAUUUUGAUGACAAGUAUUUCCAGGCGGAGGGAGUAUUUG